rnacentral:tRNA from 1 species
AGGGGUGUGGCUCAGUGGUACAGUAUGUGCUUGACUUACACAAGGCUAUGGGUUCAAUCCCCAGCACCACAA